rnacentral:rRNA from 1 species
UACAGAGGUCCCAAGCGUUGUUCGGAUUCACUGGGCGUAAAGGGUGCGUAGGUGGUGGGGUAAGUCGGAUGUGAAAGCUCGGAGCUCAACUCCGAAAUGGCAUUGGAAACUACCCUGCUAGAGGAUUGGAGGGGGGACUGGAAUACUUGGUGUAGCAGUGAAAUGCGUAGAUAUCAGGAGGAACACCAAUGGCGAAGGCAGCACUCUGGGACGUGACUGACGCUGAGACGCGAAAGCGUGGGGAGCAAACAGG